rnacentral:rRNA from 1 species
UCAUGGCUCAGAAUGAACGCUGGCGGCGUGCCUAACACAUGCAAGUCGAACGGGAAAGGUCGAAAGACUGAGUAGAGUGGCGGACGGGUGAGUAAAAUAUAGGUAUCUGCCCUUUAGAGGAGAAUACCAUCGAGAAAUCGGUGUUAAUACUGCAUAAGCCCAGAGAUGGGGAAAGGUGGCCUCAAAGCUACCGCUAAAGGAUGAGCCUGUAACCUAUUAGCUAGUUGGUGGGGUAAGAGCCUACCAAGGCAAAGAUGGGUAACCGGCCUGAGAGGGUGUACGGUCACACUGGAACUGAGACACGGUCCAGACUCCUACGGGAGGCAGCAGUGGGGGAUAUUGCACAAUGGGCGCAAGCCUGAUGCAGCGACGCCGCGUGGAGGAUGAAGGUUUUCGGAUUGUAAACUCCUGUUACGUGGGAAAAAAUGCCCUGUUUGAAUAAAGCAGGGAGCUGAUGGUACCACGAGAGAAAGCACCGGCAAACUUCGCGCCAGCAGCCGCGGUAAUACGAAGGGUGCAAGCGUUAUUCGGAAUAACUGGGUGUAAAGCGCGUGAAGGCGGUUUUAUAAGUCAUUUGUAAAAAGAGCUCGGCUUAACUGAGCAACUGCAGACGAUACUGUAGAACUAGAGUGCAGGAGAGAAAGGUAGAAUUCUCGGAGUAGCGGUAAAAUGCGUAGAUCUCGAGAGGAAUACCGGUUGCGAAGGCGGCCUUUUGGCCUGUAACUGACGCUCAAGCGCGAAAGCGUGGGUAGCAAACGGGAUUAGAUACCCUGG